rnacentral:tRNA from 2 species
CAUUAGAUGGCUGAAAGUAAGCAAUGGUCUCUUAAACCAUCCUAUAGUAAACUAGCACCUACUUCUAGUGG